rnacentral:rRNA from 1 species
AUUGAACGCUGGCGGCAGGCCUAACACAUGCAAGUCGAACGAGUGGCGGACGGGUGCGUAAUGUCUGGGAAACUGCCUGGUGGAGGGGGAUCACUACUGGAAACGGUAACUCAUACCGCAUACCAUCAGAUGUGCCCAGAUGGGAUUAGCUAGUUGGUGGGGUAACGGCUCACCAAGGCGACGAUCCCUAGCUGGUCUGAGAGGAUGACCAGGCACACGGGAACGGAGACACGGUCCAGACUCCUACGGGAGGCAGCAGUGGGGAAUAUUGCACAAUGGGCGCAAGCCUGAUGCAGCCAUGCCGCGUGUAUGAAGAAGGUCUUCGGGUUGUAAAGCACUUUAAGUGGGGAGGCGUUACCCGCAGAAGAAGCACCGGCUAACUCCGUGCCAGCAGCCGCGGUAAUUC